AUAAAAGAGGCAAGGAGUUCAAAUUCUUGCCAUUUCGCGGUCAAGUCUUGGGAGGAUCAGAUCUUAGGCGCGCUUGUUCGCUGCCCCGGCAACGGUUAAGGAUCACGCGAAACUAAAAAACAAGGCUUAACUGCCUUGUUUUUUUUU
rnacentral:sRNA from 1 species